GACGAACGCUGGCGGCGUGCUUAACACAUGCAAGUCGAGCGGUAAGGCCCUUUCGGGGGUACACGAGCGGCGAACGGGUGAGUAACACGUGGGUGACCUGCCCUCAGAACUCUGGGAUAAGCCUGGGAAACCGGGUCUAAUACUGGAUAUGACUCCAUGACGCAUGUUGUGGGGUGGAAAGCCUUGUGCGGCUGAGGAUGGGCCCGCGGCCUAUCAGCUUGUUGGUGGGGUGANGGCCUACCAAGGCGACGACGGGUAGCCGGCCUGAGAGGGCGACCGGCCACACUGGGACUGAGACACGGCCCAGACCCCUACGGGAGGCAGCAGUGGGGAAUCUUGCGCAAUGGGCGAAAGCCUGACGCAGCGACGCCGCGUGAGGGAUGACGGCCUGG
rnacentral:rRNA from 1 species